rnacentral:rRNA from 1 species
CUCAGUUCGGAUUGUAGGCUGCAACAUUCCCUGCAUGAAGCUGGAAUCGCUAGUAAUCGCAAAUCAGCCAUGUUGCGGUGAAUACGUUCCCGGGUCUUGUACUCACCGCCCGUCACACCAUGGGAGUUGUGUUUGCCUUAAGUCAGGAUGCUAAAUUGGCUACUGCCCACGGCACACACAGCGACUGGGGUGAAGUCGUAACAAGGUAACCGUAGGUGAACCUGCGGUUGGAUCACCUCCU